AGUUUGGUGACAUCAUUAAAUUUGGUACUAAAGCAGAACACUAUGGAUUGGCUCUUGGAGAGCGAGAUGAUGAAGGAGAGCUUUUUUUCCACAAAACCGAGGAGAAAUGUUUAAUCUCACAUUUGAAAGCAGACAGCAAAACCCCCCGCAAAGUUGAUAAUUACCAAGAUGAUUCACUGGCACAUGAUAUGAAUGAAAUAACAAAAAGACUGAAAGACUGCAAGAACAUAGGCAACAAUGAGAAUAAUGCACCAUGUUGUGGAACAUUCAACCAUAAAUCAAGCAACUGUGAGCACACAGUUACCUAUAUCCGUUAUGGAGCGCCUGGAAGAAUCUCCUGUUUGGCCUGGUGGAAGUCUGAUGACCCUGGAAAGUACCCAAUAUAUUACAUUGGGCAACCACGUGGUGCACGUCCUACGCAAUGUACACACUGGAAUGAGUAGUGGAGUGGACCUAGUUAACAUUACCGAACCUGUUAUGUUUUACAGAUUUUGUUCUGAGAAAUGUUUUGGAGUAAAGCAUGAUAGCAUCACA